GUUUGAUCCUGGCUCAGAUUGAACGCUGGCGGCAUGCCUUACACAUGCAAGUCGAACGGCAGCACGGAGCUUGCUCUGGUGGCGAGUGGCGAACGGGUGAGUAAUAUAUCGGAACGUACCCUGGAGUGGGGGAUAACGUAGCGAAAGUUACGCUAAUACCGCAUACGAUCUAAGGAUGAAAGUGGGGGAUUCGCAAGAACCUCAUGCUCCUGGAGCGGCCGAUAUCUGAUUAGCUAGUUGGUAGGGUAAAAGCCUACCAAGGCAUCGAUCAGUAGCUGGUCUGAGAGGACGACCAGCCACACUGGAACUGAGACACGGUCCAGACUCCUACGGGAGGCAGCAGUGGGAAUUUUGGACAAUGGGGGCAACCCUGAUCCAGCAAUGCCGCGUGAGUGAAGAAGGCCUUCGGGUUGUAAAGCUCUUUUGUCGGGGAAGAAACGGUGUGGGCUAAUAUCCCAUGCUAAUGACGGUACCUGAAGAAUAAGCACCGGCUAACUACGUGCCAGCAGCCGCGGUAAUACGUAGGGUGCAAGCGUUAAUCGGAAUUACUGGGCGUAAAGCGUGCGCAGGCGGUUUUGUAAGACUGUCGUGAAAUCCCCGGGCUCCACCUGGGAAUGGCGAUGGUGACUGCUAGGCUAUAGUUUGGCAGAGGGGGGUAGAAUUCCACGUGUAGCAGUGAAAUGCGUAUAUAUGUGGAGGAACACCGAUGGCGAAAGCAGUCCCUCCUGGGUCAAAACUGACGCUCAUGCACGAAAGCGUGGGGAAGCAAACAGGAUUAGAUACUCUGGUAGUCCACGCCCUAAACGAUGUCUACUAGCUGUCGGGUUUUAUCUACUCGGUACUGCAGCUAACGCCUGAAGUAGACGGCUGGGGAGUACGGUCGCA
rnacentral:rRNA from 1 species